UACGAAGGGAGCUAGCGUUGUUCGGAAUCACUGGGCGUAAAGCGCACGUAGGCGGAUUUGUCAGUCAGGGGUGAAAUCCCGGGGCUCAACCUCGGAACUGCCUUUGAUACAGCAAGUCUUGAGUUCGAGAGAGGUGGGUGGAAUUCCUAGUGUAGAGGUGAAAUUCGUAGAUAUUAGGAAGAACACCGGUGGCGAAGGCGGCCCACUGGCUCGAUACUGACGCUGAGGUGCGAAAGCGUGGGGAGCAAAGCAGGAUUAAG
rnacentral:rRNA from 1 species